UACGUAGGGGGCAAGCGUUGUCCGGAAUCACUGGGCGUAAAGGGCGCGUAGGCGGCGCGGAAAGUCAACGGUGAAAGCUUGGGGCUCAACCCCGAGUCGGCCGUCGAUACUUCCGUGCUCGAGCACUGUAGAGGCAGGUGGAAUUCCGGGUGUAGCGGUGGAAUGCGUAGAUAUCUGGAGGAACACCGGUGGCGAAGGCGGCAUUCUGGACCGAUAUUGACGCUGAGGAGCGAAAGCCAGGGGAGCAAACGGG
rnacentral:rRNA from 1 species